rnacentral:rRNA from 1 species
UUUAGUAGGAAUUUAAUUUUGGUUCCGAUUGAACGUUUUUCAGUAGUUUUAAGACAUGCAAAUCGUUUGUACGCGGUUAAUCAAUAUUAACAUUAAAGUUAAUAUUAAUUGAUUUAAGUGUACAAGGUGUAGGGGUGAGUAUAGUAAAUGAGAUACCCUUGUAGACUUUAGAAAUAGAAGAUAGUUUUUUCAUUAAUUAAAUAAAAUAAAAAAAAUUUUUUAUCAAAUUAAUGAAAUUUUUAGAUUAAAACAAAUUCUAAAAAGUAAAAAACAAAAGGUAAACUUUAAAAAAGGAAAUUUUCCGCAACAAGGAUUCAAUUUACACUCGAUUAGGUAGUUGGUAGGGUAAAAGCCUACCAAGCCGAUGAUCGAUAGUCAAGUUUGACAGAACAAAUGACCACAUUGGGAUUGAAAUCUCCCAAGUAGCGUUUUGCUACCAGCAGUCGAGAAUAUUAGUCAAUGCUCGCAAGAGUGAACUAGCUAACUGAAAUCUUUGAUGUGUCAUCAAGGAUAACGUAAGGGAAAAUAAUGAUAUUACCUUACUAUUAGUGUCGUCCAAGUGCUCGUGCCAGAAGACUCGGUAAGGCGAGAGACGCAAACGUUAUUCGUCUUGAUCAGGCGUAAAGGGUAUGUAGGCGGUUUUAAGAAUUCAAAAAAAAGUUUAUUAAUAUAAUACUAACAAAACAAAAAGGUGUUAUAAUUUUUAAAACAGAAUCAAUUAAAGCUAGAAUCUAACAGAGGUUAAAACAAUACUUAUGGUAGGUGUACCAACCUAAGAUAAUAAGUAGAGUUUUAAGGGCGAAGGCAUUUACCCACUAAAGAUUGACGCUGAGAAACGAAGGUGAGGAAAGAAAAAAGGAUUAGAGACCCUUGUAUCCCUCACUGUCAACGAUGAAUGGUAGUUACUAGUAAGAAAUAAACUAGAGGCGAUGUUAACACGUAAACCAUUCCGCCUUGUGAGUACGACUGCAAAGUUAAAAACAAAAAAAUUAGUCGGUUUCGGAGCAAACGAAGUGAAGCAUGUUAUUUAAUGCGAUAAUCCGCGUAAAACCUUACCAGUUCUUGUAUAUAAAUUUUUAUGUUUUUUUUUAUAAAUGAAAUCAUUUUCCUUUAUUAUUUAAAACUAAAUUUAUACAGGUGUUGCAUGGCUGUCUUCAGUCCGUAUUGUGAAAAGUUAGGUUAAAUCCGUUAACGGACGCAAUCCCUAUUGUUAAUUUAUACUUAACAAUUUAUGAUAUUGAUAAAGUAUCAUUUGGGGCUAAGACAAGCCCUUAUGGCCCUUAUGAACUGGGCUAUAGACGUGCUAUAAAGAUUUUUACAAAGUGACGCAAAACUUCUCUUAUUUUUCUUUUUUAGAAAUAAAUUUUUUUAUUUAAAACAGUUUAAUUUAUUUAUUUAAAUUAAAAAUUACAAAUUAAAUUUAGUCCUUUAAGGGUUAGGGUUUAAUUGUAUUUUGCUUCUUAAUUUAAAUUAUUAAUAUUUAACUUAAUGAAGGUAAACUGUUUAAAUAUUAAUAAUUCAAUAUUAUAUUGUAUUAUAAUAAGAUAUAAAAAAAUGUUAAGAGCAUAAGGUUGAGCUAAUCAUUAAAAAAAAUCAAAAUAACAAAUUAACGUUACGGAUUGUCACCUGAAACUUGGUGACAUGAAGGAGGAAUUUCGAGUAAUCGUUGAUCAUUAGGCGCAACGGUGAAGCAAAAAUCCGGAAUGAACUAACCGUCUGUCGCUGGGAAGGAGCUUAAUUUGGUGGAAAAUAAAUCAAAGUUUUAAUUUAAAAGCUCUCACUCUCACUCUACAGUAGAAAGAGCAAAAAAAGCUUUAUAUUUCUAAUAUAAAAUAGUUUUAAAUUUUAAUUAUUGUUAGAUCUAUUUAAACCAUUUAAGUAACAUCUCAAAAGUCAUAGCAAGGUAGCUGUACUGGAAGGUGCAGCUGGAUAUUUAAUAAA